CAUCUAUAAUGUCUAUUAUUGAUAUUUAUUUGAUCAUUGUCCAGUCCCUGUGAUCAUUGUCCAGUCAAUGUGAUCCUUGUCCAGUCCUUGUGAUCAUUGUCCAGUCCUUUGGAUCAUUGUCCAGUCCUUGGGAUCAUUGUCCAGUCCUUGUGAUCCUUGUCCAGUCGAUGUGAUCCUUGUCCAGUUGAGUUACUAUUGUAGUAUUUAUUUGAUCCUUGUCCAGUCAAGUAGAUCCCUGUCCAGUCAAGUUAACCGCUGUCCAGUCAAGAUGAUUGUUGUCCAUUUAAGUUGAUUGCAGUCCAGUCAAGUUGAUCCCUGUCCAGUCAAGUUGAUCAUUGACCAGUUGAUUUGAUCUCUGUCCAGUCAAGCUGUUGUUAUAGCAUCUGUCAUCAGUAUUUAUUUGAUCCCUGUCCAGUCAAGUUGUUCCCUGUCCAGUCAAGGUGGUGUUAUAG